GGGGUAAUGGCUGAGUGGUCUAAAGCGUCUGUUUUGAAAACUGAGUACUUAGGUACCGUGGGUUCAAAUCCCACUUACCCCU
rnacentral:tRNA from 1 species